rfam:Parcubacteria group bacterium CG1_02_42_13 cg1_0.2_scaffold_19500_c, whole genome shotgun sequence.
AUUGUGGUUACUAAGAGUUGAUGGUGGAUGCCUAGGAAGGUUGAGGCGAAGAAGGACGUGGCGUGACUGCGAUAAGCCUCGGGGAGGUGUCAAGCAACCUAUGAACCGGGGAUGUCCGAAUGGGGAAACCCUCCGCAGCAAAACUGCGGAACCGAGCCAGAACUAAGUACAGUUUUGGGAGCGCCCAAGUAGUAGAAGUUUCACUUCACUACUGAGCAGCCCCGAACCGCGCUUCGCUCUGGUUCGGGGCGCACCCAGGGAAGCAAAACAUUCUAGUACCUGGAGGAAAAUAGAACAAUAGUUAUUCCCUUAGUAGCGGCGAGUGAAAAGGGAGAUAGCCUAGACCGAGCACAUAAAUUUUUAUGUGCUUGGAGUUAAAAGAUGUUGACAUUAAAAAUUUUCUUUUAAAGAGAAAAUUUUGAAAAGGAGUAAUAAAAUUAAUUGUUAGCCGAAAUCUUCUGGAAUGCAAUACCAAAGAAGGUGAUAGUCCUGUAGGCGAAAAUAAUUAAUCUCCUAGUCUUCGUUCUUAAGUACUAUGGGGCAUGAUAAACCCGUAGGAAUUCGGGUCAACUACAGACCCAAGGCUAAAUACUCAACCUUACCGAUAGUGAACUAGUACCGUGAGGGAAAGGUGAAAAGUAGGGCGGCGAGCCCGAUGAAAUAGAAUCUGAAACCAUCUAACUUACAAAGAGUCGGAGCCGAGCACAUAAUUUAUUAUGUGCUUCGGUGACGGCGUACUUUUUGGAGAACGAGCCAACGAGUUCGCUCUCCACCAUCGUCUAAGCCCUUAUGGGGCGGAGACACAGCGAAAGCGAGUGUUAAUAGCGCGCCUCUCUGAUUUAUCAGAGAAAAUGGUGGGGAGCGAGACCCGAAGCCAAGCGAGCUUGCCAUGAUCAGGGUGAACCCGGCAGAAGUGCUGGGGAAGGCCCGAACCUGUGAGCCGUGCAAUACUCUAGGAUGAAUCGUGGUAAGAAGAGAAAACCUAAACGAGCUUGGUAAUAGCUGGUUCUUCCCGAAAUAGCUUUAGGACUAGCCUCCGCAAAAUAAUAUUUUGGGGGUAGAGCACUGAAUGAAUUACCGUGGAAUUUUUUCCAGGUAUUUUAAUCAAACUCCGAAUACCAAAAUAUUUAGGAGAGUAAGAACCUGGGCGCUAAGGUCCAGGCUCAAAAGGGGAACAGCCCAGACCUUCAUCUAAGGUCCCUAAAUUUGAGCUAAGUGCAAGUAAGGAAGUGAAAUUCCUUUGAUAGUCAGGAGGUGAGCUUAGAAGCAGCUAUCCUUUAAAAAGUGCGUAACAGCUUACUGAUUAAGGAGUUUUGCACCAAAGAUUAACGGGGCUAAAGCUCAAUACCGAAGAUAAGGACGAGCACAUAAUUCGUUAUGUGCUCGUGGUAGGGAAGCGUUCAGUUCGCAGCGAAGCCAAAGCGUGAGCAAUGGUGGAGUGAACUGAAGUGAGAAUGUUGGCAUGAGUAACCGCAAUGGCAGUGAAAAACUGCCACACCGAAAGCCUAAGAUUUCCUUGGCAAUGAUUUUCAGCCAGGGGUUAGGCGGGCCUAAUUUUGUCGCCCAAAGGCGGCAAGAGAUGGACAGCUGGUUAAUAUUCCAGCCCUUUCUUAUAUGAGUCUAGAGAGCGACGGAACCUAGUAAUUCAGGCUAAUUAUUGGAUUUUAGUUUUCGUUCUAAUGGAGAUCCUUUUAGGGUUUCUCAAGGAACGCGAAAAUGUCUGGUUUCGAUCAGACAAAUCUGAGCGAGCAGGUUUCCCAGAAAAGCUUUUUAGAAGUUAUCAUAUAGGAGAUCCGUAUCUAAAACCGACACAGGUAGGCUGGUGUGAGAGCACCAAGGUGAACGGGUGAAAGCUCCUGAAGGAACUCGGCAAACAAGCGCCCGUAACUUCGGGAUAUGGGCUUCCCCCACCACUUUGUUUUUAAUUUCACGAAAAACCAAAAAAUUUGGUUAAUCGCGGAAAAUUGAGGCCAAAGUGGUGGGGGACGCAGCGAAAGUUUUUUUAGCGACUGUUUAUCAAAAACACAGGUUCCUGCUCAAACUCGUAAGAGGAUGUAUAGGAACUGAGACCUGACCAGUGCUGGAACGUCAACGAUCUCGGUCUUGCUGCAAAGUGAGGCUAAGGGUCCGAAGCGCCAGUAAACGUCCGCGGUAACUCUGACCGUGUUAAAGUAGCGUAACCCCUUGUCGGGUAAGUUCCGACCCGCAUGAAAGGUUUCACGACUAAGAAACUGUCUCCAGGAGUCGCCCGGUGAAAAUGCAAUAUGGGUGAAGAUGCCCAUUACUUGCGGCUAGACGGAAAGACCCCGAGAGCUUUACUGUAGUCAGGCAUUGAGUUUUGGUAUUGGAUGCGUAGCGUAGCGGGC